AGAGUUUGAUCCUGGCUCAGAACGAACGCUGGCGGCAUGCCUAACACAUGCAAGUCGAACGAAGCCUUCGGGCUUAGUGGCGCACGGGUGCGUAACGCGUGGGAAUCUGCCCUUGGGUUCGGAAUAACAGUUAGAAAUGACUGCUAAUACCGAAUGAUGUCUUCGGACCAAAGAUUUAUCGCCCAAGGAUGAGCCCGCGUCGGAUUAGCUAGUUGGUGAGGUAAAAGGCUCACCAAGGCGACGAUCCGUAGCUGGUCUGAGAGGAUGAUCAGCCACACUGGGACUGAGACACGGCCCAGACUCCUACGGGAGGCAGCAGUGGGGAAUAUUGGACAAUGGGCGAAAGCCUGAUCCAGCAAUGCCGCGUGAGUGAUGAAGGCCUUAGGGUUGUAAAGCUCUUUUACCCGGGAUGAUAAUGACAGUACCGGGAGAAUAAGCCCCGGCUAACUCCGUG
rnacentral:rRNA from 1 species